AUUUUUUUUCAUUUUACUUUCCCUGAAUCCUUCCCCAGAGUGUUCAGAAAUAUCAAAUAUGAGCUGAAUAAGUAGUGGAAAGACAAGGAUUCAUCCGUUCCACAGACUACAAACCUGGCCGAUAGAGGGAAUAUUUCAUUUUAGAUCAAAUGAUUCACUGUCAUCUUUGUCUGAUAUUACAACAUAGUGACCACACAACUAUCCUCAAUGGUAUUUGACUACAUGGAUUCUGUAAAAAGAUGAAGCUUAAGAACACUAUUUUUUUUCAAGUGCAAUAUACUGUAGUCAUAAGAUGAAUGGGGUCUUGUCCAUAUAUCUACAUGAAAUUUAGAUAAAGCAAGCAAUGUGAAGAACACAUAAUCUCACAUUUUGCAUGUCACACUAUAAAUUCUAUACCAGGUUGUACUUCAUUUUUGCCCUGUUUUUCUCUACCAAAGGGAAACAAAUGAGGAGAGUUCACCAUAUUUGUUUAUUUAUUUAACAUUUGAAAAUCAUAAUCACAGAGUUGAACUUCAUAUUCCUUGGUGUGCUUCAUGUAGCACACCCAAGAUAUAGGUGAGUGGUGGCUUUUUUAUAGGAGAAAUUACAAAGCUUUUUUUCCUACAUCUGAAAACUCACAUCUGAAGUUUUAAAAUGUGUACCUCUCUAAAAGAUACAAUUGCUUUGUCCUCACCUGUGUGAUGAGGUUAGAUGUUGCCAUUCUGUGAAAAGCAAAACCUCAUACCAGAUGUAUUUUGAAUGAAUCCUUGAUUCACAAUGGAAGUUGCUCACAGCUAAAAUGAAAUAUGUGUUGCCUUCUCUCUAGUUUGUUUUCUCAGAUUUCUAAACACAAAGACAAAAAAGGACAGAAAACACUUUGUAUUUGCUAUAACCUUGAGAAUCAGUCCUAAGAGUUAGAUGUCAAAUUGUUGAAUUACUUGCUCUUAUUAUCCUCUAACUAUUCCAUAUUCUUUUAAUUGACUCAGUGUUGUAAAGAUAAACGCCUUGGGUUACGCAUAACACAGAACACAGCACAACAUAAUGCAAUUUCAUAAAGGAUCUUCUGUAAUUGCUUAUCACACGUGGCUGUGCAUGACAGAUAGAAACAAUAAAAGAACAAAUGGAAAAUAUUAGGCCAAACCUUAUUACUGAGAUAAUAUUUGAAACAAUCUUGAAAUACUUUUUGAUACACAUUGUCCAUAUGUAAGCCUUGUGAAUGAUUGCAGUUUCUCAAAUCUAUCUGGUUGUAUAUUGGAAAUGGUGGGGAGCAACUAGUAAAGGGGCUAACUUUGCAAAUAAGAAUUCUGAGUGUUACAAGAAGACAAGCAACUGAUUUAAAAUAAAAGUUGGUAUUCAAGGAA
rnacentral:lncRNA from 1 species